UCUUGACAUCCAGAGAACUUUCCAGAGAUGGAUUGGUGCCUUCGGGAACUCUGAGACAGGUGCUGCAUGGCUGUCGUCAGCUCGUGUUGUGAAAUGUUGGGUUAAGUCCCGCAACGAGCGCAACCCUUAUCCUUGUUUGCCAGCACUUCGGGUGGGAACUCCAGGGAGACUGCCGGUGAUAAACCGGAGGAAGGUGGGGACGACGUCAAGUCAUCAUGGCCCUUACGAGUAGGGCUACACACGUGCUACAAUGGCGCAUACAGAGGGCGGCCAACUUGCGAGAGUGAGCGAAUCCCAAAAAGUGCGUCGUAGUCCGGAUCGGAGUCUGCAACUCGACUCCGUGAAGUCGGAAUCGCUAGU
rnacentral:rRNA from 1 species